AGAGACUAAUUCUGACUGGAGGAAUACAGAUCUGGAAGAGAAGAGAUAUUACUGAUCUUCAAAACAUGGGUAGGAUUUUAAGAGGAACUGAUCAUUUCAGAAGGAAGCACGUCAGCAUUACUAUAGCGGAACCAGAAGGGAAUUAUAGGUUUUUCUGCUGGAAAAUCUUUUACUGCUUUUGUGAGAAGAAGGAACAUAUACAUGCAGAUGCUAACAGACCCUUGAAUUAUGAAAAUGGUACCUCUCCACUGCGACACAGGAAGAGCUGGUUUGGAAAUUGGAUGUGAAUAUGGCUCUGUGCAAAUCAUCUAUUUGCUUUUGGAGGUGUUAGCUCAGUUGGUGAGAGGACAGCACUAAUAAGGGUAAGGGUGCAGGUUUUAUUAGCUUUACACAGAGAGAAACUGCCCCAGAGUCACAGAUUGUACCUCCAAGCUCAGUGAGUUCUCCUGGGUCACAAAGAGAGUGCAGAUUACUCAGAACAACCUAUUAACAGUUUGGAAAACAAGCAGCUGAUGGCAGAUCUGGUACAUAAAAGAUAACACUUUCUUACUUUGCAGAGGGCUAAAAAAAAAAAAAAAUUGAACCCAUCAAACAAGUGUCAAUUUAAGAAGUGUCCCUUUGUCAUAUAUACCCUUUGGACUACAAUUCCAAAAACGGGCAUAUUGUGAAGGAAAAUUUAAAUCCAAAUUCUGAGAAUACAUCCAGUUCGUUACUGGACUCUGUGCUUGGUAGGAAGAAAAGAUGGCCAUGUGAUAUUGAUAAUAGACUGUCAAAUGGCAAAAAUCAAUCUGAAAAUCAUUUGUAGU